GCAUAAACAAAGAUGUGGUUGUGAUGAUGUUAUAGCUGCAUCCAAAGGCAAUAAUAUACCAAUAGCAAACAAUACUAAAGACUAUAAAUAAAGGGGUAGUGGAGGAAUAGUAUAGUGGGAUAAUUCCUUGUAUCUAUUUAUGGAGCUGAGUGUAUGCAAUUAAUAUGACUUAUGUUGCACGCUGACUUGAGUGGACACAUUUUAUGCUUGG
rnacentral:lncRNA from 1 species